CUGUGACUGUGUCCCUUUCCCCCAUCUGCAGUUGCCGUUUUUGAUUUUCUUUCUUUCCUCCCCACUUCCAUCCGGAUCCUCUCCUAUUUCCUCCUUGGAUUUCUCGUUCUGUCUCUCAGGUUCUCCUCUCCGUAAAUAUUCUCUCCUCUCCCUCUCCGGGAUCCGUCCCCUCCCCCACGUGGAUCUGCCUCCCCGGCGCCCCCUCCUCAUUCAUCCUGGGAGAUGAAUUUGUCGCCUUAUUGGACGCCGAGGCCAGAGCCGUGUGAAGGGGCUCGGCCAGCGCUGUGCAUUUUCUUCAUGCAUAUUGAGGAGAUGGUAAUGAGCGCGUUUGCAUUGUUGCUUGGAAAUGUUGUGUUUCCUGCCGCAGUUCGCAGUUCGGAGUGGGCGAGGGUGGUGUGGGCCCAGGACAGCCUCUCAGUAGGCACCCGGCCUGGCGGCCGCCGCUGACCCUCUCCGGAUUCCCAGGCUCUGGGUGCCGGGGGAGGAAGCGACCUUGCCGAGCUCCUGACCCGGCCGCCGCCUCCUCCUCCGGUUUCUCCACAAAGGCCGUCGCGCUCCCCUCAUUAAAGCCUCGUUACAGGAACCCCCGGCUGGCUCGCGACGGCUCCUCCGAGCCCCCCUGCCCACCGGCCUCUGAGCCCCUCCCCUGAUUUGAGAGGCCUGUGAUGGAGCGCCACCAGAAAAUUAGUGCCUGACAACGUCGUCUAUUGGCAAUAAAUUAAGAUUCCAAGUGACACGUCGCGGGAUCAAACACAGCCACAUUGUUGUGUACCCUGCUCCGCUCGCUCCUCGUUAAUCUUGGAGGGCGCCUUGGCAUCGCUUGGCCAGGGGAGGUUGUAGGCAGGCCUUUCGGCUGUCAGGACUCGGAUCCUGCCUCUGCCCUGGCUGAGCCCACUUCAGUCAUUCAGGAGGGACUGACUGCCCCUCCCUGAUAAGGUCCAAGGCGCUCAGGAGGCGUGACCCAGGAACGCCUUUCAAUAAGCUGAAGGUUUAUUAAAGUCAGGAGCUUCGAGGGGCAAACUCUGAGUUAAGCUUGUGGGGAAUCGACGUGAGCCUUGCUGGGAAUUCAGAACAUCAAGGUCUGGCCUUGUCUGGAAUUGUCUGGUGUCGAGUUUCCCAAACUUCAAGCUUCCCGCUACCACCUUUAUUAUUUACUUAACAUUUUUCCUUAAAUUGACUCAUUUUUAAAAUCAAAGUACAUAUUUUUGGAAAGAAAAUCUGAUACUACCACUGUAAAUUGAAAAGUAGCUGUUACUCACCAGAAAAGGAAGUGGUAAAAGAUAAACACAGCUAAAACCAAGCAAUGUUAAUACAUGAUAGCCGUUUUGCUGGCUUGGAAAGACUCCUAGAGGCUCAGGUGUGUGUGUGUCAUUAGCAAGUGUUGGAAGUGUUAAAUACUGAAUCUUUCUCAGAAGAAAUGAGACAAUUGAAAAGAGAAUGUUUCUCACUA
rnacentral:lncRNA from 1 species